rnacentral:tRNA from 1 species
GGCAACGUGGCGGAGUGGUUAUCGCGCUAGCCUAGAAAGCUAGUUCCUUCGGGAGCGUCAGUUCGACUCUGGCCGUUGUCG